GACGAACGCUGGCGGCGCGCCUCAUACAUGCAAGUCGAGCGAGAACCAGGGCUUGCUCUGGGGAGAGCGGCGAACGGGUGCGUAUCACGUGAGCAACCUGCCCCGAAGACUGGGAUAACUCGAGGAAACUCGGGCUAAUACCGGAUGCCCUCGGUGGACCGCAUGGUCCGGCGAGGAAAUGGAUUCCGCUUCGGGAUGGGCUCGCGGCCUAUCAGCUUGUUGGUGGGGUAACGGCCUACCAAGGCGACGACGGGUAGCUGGUCUGAGAGGACGAUCAGCCACACUGGGACUGAGACACGGCCCAGACUCCUACGGGAGGCAGCAGUAGGGAAUCUUGCGCAAUGGGCGAAAGCCUGACGCAGCGACGCCGCGUGCGGGAUGAAGGCCUUCGGGUCGUAAACCGCUUUCAGCAGGGACGAAAUUGACGGUACCUGCAGAAGAAGGCCCGGCCAACUACGUGCCAGCCGCCGCAGUAAAAC
rnacentral:rRNA from 1 species